rnacentral:lncRNA from 1 species
AGAGCGAGCGGACGAGCAGCAAGCCUGCCUAUGUAGACUAAAGAAUUUGCUGAAGGUCACAUAACCUGAGGCCAAGCUGGAUCUCGUGACGCCCAGUCUGGUGCUUUAAUCACAGCCUGUUCCUGCUUUUCAUGCUAAGACCUCCUGAGGGAUGGAGAUGCAAUGAUAAAGUCGUAGAUCAUCUGGUUUAACUCUGUGUGUGAAAGCAGGAUCCAACACUCUUGGUUCAUCCCUGGCAG